rnacentral:rRNA from 1 species
AAACGACUCUCGGCAACGGAUAUCUCGGCUCACGCAUCGAUGAAGAACGUAGCAAAAUGCGAUACUUGGUGUGAAUUGCAGAAUCCCGUGAACCAUCGAGUUUUUGAACGCAAGUUGCGCCCGAAGCCUUUUGGCCGAGGGCACGUCUGCCUGGGUGUCACGC